AGAGUUUGAUCAUGGCUCAGGACGAACGCUGGCGGCGCGCCUAACACAUGCAAGUCGAACGAGAGAGAGGGAGCUUGCUUCCUCAAUCGAGUGGCGAACGGGUGAGUAACGCGUGAGGAACCUGCCUCAAAGAGGGGGACAACAGUUGGAAACGGCUGCUAAUACCGCAUAAGCCCACAGCUCGGCAUCGAGCAGAGGGAAAAGGAGCAAUCCGCUUUGAGAUGGCCUCGCGUCCGAUUAGCUAGUUGGUGAGGUAAUGGCCACAAGGCGACGAUCGGUAGCCGGACUGAGAGGUUGGACGGCACGAUUGGGACUGGAGACACGGGCCCAGGACCUCCUACGGGAAGCA
rnacentral:rRNA from 1 species